AAGCGGAGCGGAUGCUGCCCCCGUCUCCCCGGGCCUGGCUCCCCGCUCUCCUCCAGCUGGGCUCCCAGAGCGCCUUCCUUUCCUCUCCGAAGUCAGCCCCCUGCUAGGGAGGGACGCUGGGGCGGAUCCCCGCUAGGGCUAACCACAGGCUUCCCUGACCUCAAGUCCAAUUGCUGACAAUUUUCUUUGCUAAAUUGCCCACUGUCAAGCAUCCCGGUCUGGCACCUACAUACACAUCGGAGCCUUCCCAGAUGGCAGGGACCUCAGAGAGCCUCUCGCUCCACUGACUCAUCUUCCUGGAGCAGGAAACAAUACAGGAGUCUCCCUAUUCCAGUUCUUCCGGGAUUGACGACUGCGCUUUCUCGGGCCCAUGGGAACAUACCCAUUUCUCAGAUGAAGGGGCUGAGGUACAGAGCAAUCCUCCCAGACUGGAGGCGCGGCCUCCUUUGGACACCGAAGUGGAGGCCACGGCCUUUCUCCUGGCCUUUGUUCUCAGUCUCCCCGGGGAGUCGAAUCCCGAGACUGGACAGAGGGAGACAGCUACCGAGGUACUGCUGUCCCUGCUGGCUUCGGUCCAAAGGGAACUUCCUGCCCUCGGGGAACUUACAGCCUCCUGGGCUGCUGAAGGAGCCCAGACCGGCUCAGCCCAUGAAGCUGCCGGGAGAAGCCUGGAGGUCCCCCAGCCAGCGCCAGGGCUUGAACCGGGGUCUUCUAAGGCACAGAUCGCGCCCAACUGCUCCAGGCUGCCUCCACCAGUCCCGCGGCUCCGGAGUUGGGGCCUGGAUCUCAAGGACUUCCUGAGGACUCGGAGCUGCUGGGGAGGGGGAGCGAGGAAUUUUCUGGAGGCCCUGCCUGGGAAAGUGCCCUCAGCAGACAAUGGCAGAGUGAGUGUUAAUUCUCCGGUGCCAUGGUCCCAGAGGGCUCCCUGGAAGAGGGCUUUUUCCUCUGCGGACACUCUCCAAGCCCCGGUAAUGGGAUGGGGCGUCUCGGUAAUGGGAAUGGGAAGUCUCGGUAAUGGGAAUGGGAAGUCUCGGUAAUGGGACUGGGGCGUCUCGGUAAUGCUGGAGGGAGAGGCCUGGUGCCUUCCAGCCUCCACCCUCGAUUAACCCCACCCCAGCCUCCCCAGAGCCUCUGGCAGCGGAGCUGAAAGCAGCAUUAGCUCGGUAAUCUGAGGAUGGGGG
rnacentral:lncRNA from 1 species